rnacentral:rRNA from 1 species
CCUACGGGCGGCAGCAGUGAGGAAUAUUGGUCAAUGGGCGCAAGCCUGAACCAGCCAAGUCGCGUGAGGGAAGACGGUCCUAUGGAUUGUAAACCUCUUUUGUCGGGGAGCAAAAGACGCCACGCGUGGCGUUCCGAGAGUACCCCAAGAAAAAGCAUCGGCUAACUCCGUGCCAGCAGCCGGGGUAAUACGGAGGAUGCGAGCGUUAUCCGGAUUUAUUGGGUUUAAAGGGUGCGCAGGGGGAAGAUCAAGUCUGCGGUAAAAUUGAGAGGCUCAACCUCGUCGAGCCGUUGAAACUGGUUUGCUUGAGUGAGUGAGAAGUAUGCGGAAUGCGUGGUGUAGCGGUGAAAUGCAUAGAUAUCACGCAGAACUCCGAUUGCGAAGGCAGCAUACCGGCGCUCAACUGACGCUCAUGCACGAAAGUGUGGGUAUCGAACAGGAUUAGAUACCCCAGUAGUC